rnacentral:rRNA from 1 species
UACGUAGGGUGCAAGCGUUAAUCGGAAUUACUGGGCGUAAAGCGUGCGCAGGCGGUUAUGUAAGACAGGUGUGAAAUCCCCGGCUUAACCUGGGAACUGCAUUUGUGACUGCAUAGCUAGAGUACGGUAGAGGGGGAUGGAAUUCCGCGUGUAGCAGUGAAAUGCGUAGAUAGUGCGGAGGAACACCGAUGGCGAAGGCAAUCCCCUGGACCUGUACUGACGCUCAUGCACGAA